CGCUGGCGGCGUGCUUAACACAUGCAAGUCGAACGGGAAACCUUUUAUUGAAGCUUCGGCAGAUUUAGAUUGUUUCUAGUGGCGGACGGGUGAGUAACGCGUGGGUAACCUGCCUUAUACAGGGGGAUAACAGUCAGAAAUGACUGCUAAUACCGCAUAAGCGCACAGAGCUGCAUGGCUCGGUGUGAAAAACUCCGGUGGUAUAAGAUGGACCCGCGUUGGAUUAGCUAGUUGGUGAGGUAACGGCCCACCAAGGCGACGAUCCAUAGCCGGCCUGAGAGGGUGAACGGCCACAUUGGGACUGAGACACGGCCCAGACUCCUACGGGAGGCAGCAGUGGGGAAUAUUGCACAAUGGGGGAAACCCUGAUGCAGCGACGCCGCGUGAAGGAAGAAGUAUCUCGGUAUGUAAACUUCUAUCAGCAGGGAAGAAAAUGACGGUACCUGACUAAGAAGCCCCGGCUAACUACGUGCCAGCAGCCGCGGUAAUACGUAGGGGGCAAGCGUUAUCCGGAUUUACUGGGUGUAAAGGGAGCGUAGACGGAUGGACAAGUCUGAUGUGAAAGGCUGGGGCUCAACCCCGGGACUGCAUUGGAAACUGCCCGUCUUGAGUGCCGGAGAGGUAAGCGGAAUUCCUAGUGUAGCGGUGAAAUGCGUAGAUAUUAGGAGGAACACCAGUGGCGAAGGCGGCUU
rnacentral:rRNA from 1 species